CCCGAAUGGGGACGCUAGCAGUUCCUCUGUCCUUUAUAUUGCCCGUCUGCUUUUCCAGACUUUUCCAUCCCCCACAUCUCCGUACAGUGCAACGGCAGAUCAGAGUAAAUGCAACGCAACAAAAGUUUACAGUGUCAGACCUUCGCAUUAACAGUUCAGUCCAGUGUUCCAUACUGGGUUUGUGUGCAGGCUGAGGAGGCAGAUCAAAGCAGUGCUGUUACCCAUUCCACCCUCAGCUUCAGCGCGGCUGUGUGGUGGAAGAAGUCCCUGCUACAGAUAAGCCAAACAACCUGUGUGGCCCAGUGCUAGGACCACUGACUGCACACAGUUUCAUACUUGUAAAUUUGUUGAAGUUUUGUGAGAAAGCAGGCAAUAUGUCUGCGCUUGUGUGGGUGAGGGUUUUUUUUGGCAUGCUUGUUUUUUUGAUCUGUCAUGUCAAAACCAGAUAAGAGUGUGUAAUUGCCAUUAAACAGUUGGCAGCAGGUGGCCUAGAAAUUGAAACUUGUGCCUAAACUCACAGUUGUUUUGUUUUGCUCAUUUUCUGCUUGUCAAGGUCCUCUGUGUGUGUUACCUGCCAAAAGAUGGCGCUAAACGAUAGGAAGACAAGCUGACGUCAUCAUUCGUUGAAGGUCAACAGAGAAGCUGUGGGAAACUGUCACUGCAAAUCAGUCCUGUUAACAGCUAUAAUAAACACAACAGUCAAAAAGGGUGAUUUUAAAAGAUUUUCUCAGGUGAAACAGUACAAUAAGCUGCACCUGCUUUUACUGCACUGAAUAUUUUACUGAUUUCAGAGGAGCACAUCUGAAAUUAGCAUAAAAAGCCAAAAGAUUAUGCAAGUGUCCUAAAUUGUGUAAUGAUUUAUCAGAUGUUUCAACUUUGUACAGACUUUUUGUUUUUAAAUAGAAAGAAAAUUAUUUUUGUAUUACAUUUCAAAUAAUAAGAAGCACAGAUCAAAUACUUUAUACCCUUUGAACAAUGUUUAGUGUUCGGCUUUAAGCAAGGAAAAUACGGAGUUGUUGUCUGAAUGUGAUACACACUGAAUUAAAGUUAUCAUUUUUUCCACUUUAACAUAUUGUCAUAAGUGUUUGUACUGUGAAGAUUAACAGUGUUACAAGGUCAUCUGCUGUAGACCUACUUUACUAUAUGUAGUCCAAAGAUUCUGCAUCUCAAGAGUGUUCCAGCAGACACAGAACCAGGGUCCAGUUUCGCAAAGCUAUUUUUACCCAGUCUUAAUUUUGUUAUUGCACAAGUGUAGCUUACUCAAAGGUGCAUGAUUUUAAGGCUAAACGAAAUUAGUCACCUUCACGCCAGUUGAACUGAGCUGUAUUUCCAUGUAAACAACCAGUGUCACCUAGCCACCAGCUUUUCAUGUUCCCAUCAGUGACCGCUUCAUCAAAUGACUAAACAUGCAACAUAUGAUUGAGCCUCAUUCUAUACGGAUCAGUUAAGCCCUGUCUACACUUAAGUCCAUAAAAUGGUGCUGAGUCUACAGUAGUAAGUGCUCUAAUUGGUAGUUGCUUCAAUCACAAACCUCAAGGUUAAGAAGUUUCAUGGGAGUCCUGUCUGUCAUCGCUUGCAGUUACUGGAUCUUACUGACUUUCUAUUAACUAUCAAAAAAAUCAUAUUUUACAUUUAAGCCAGAAGAUUUGUAUUGUAUGCUGAUUAUUUCAUAUUCAUGCUUUUCCUGUUGUGUAACAGUGGCAUUGUGGGGGUGGGGUGGUGGGGUUGUAUAUAUUUGUUAAUUAAAUAAAUAAAAACACAUCGCUGCUAAUCAGUUCCCAUGUUGACAGUGAGAGUUUCACUACUGGCCUGAAAUGAGGUCAGUGAUAUCAUAUGUAUUGUAGCUUGAUACAAAGGAUGAUAUAAUACAAAAAUCGAAAGCAACAACCUGCAGCUGUCAUAAAAAGGUCUGCAUAGAUCACACAGCAUAAACACAAAUACAACAAAAGGCUAAAAGCUCAUAGUUUAAAUAAUUGUUUAUAAAACACCUGUAAUUUAUUUUAUGGUGGAGCUUAAUUAUAACUGAAAUCAGUGAAAAAUGAAUCCUUUCAUUUAUAAAAUGCCUCUCAAAUCUGAUUUGGAUCAUCCAUCUCCAUCUUACCCUGUUCUUAGCAUCCUCCUCUUACCGACCCUCUGUAUGUCACUACAUCUGUGCUCUGUAUUUCCUUUUAUUGUCUGUUACUAAAUGUAACUUUUACAAAUUGGAAUAAGCUCCAGCGCCCACCCCACCUCCACCCCCAAAAGAAAAAAAAAAACCUGAAUUGGAUAAGCGGUUAAGAAAAUAGAUGAAUGGAUAAAUGGAUGGCUGUAUGAAUAAGGCCUGUUUUCUUUUCAAGAUAAAGUGAAUGCAGUGUCAUUCGUAGCCACAGCAGGCCAGUGUUGGAUCACAAAAAUACUUCAGAGCGCCUCUUUCUAUUCAGUCUGAGCUUCCAAUAUAAUAUGUGUGAAAAUAAAGUUGAGGAGAAUAAAAUCAGGAAAGACAGUGUCAUAUAUGACAUUGACCAUUUUUUUUAUAUUGCAUGCGUGCAUAACAAAGGGAUUUUGUUUUUUUUUAAAUUGGCUUAAUGAAGUAAAAUCAGCCUUAAGUCACUUAUACGUUAUAAAUGCGUACUAAUGGGCCAGUGAAAAUUUAAAAAGUAAUGAUAAAGAGUGAAAUGCAGCUCAUUUAAAUGUUUAAACACUUAGAGUACAUGAGCCAGGGGAAAGCAGCACUAUAGUUUAAUUAUCCUGGUUUAUUCUUGAUAAAACUCCAAGCUCUGGGCAGGCUAGUUAGUUGUCCAUACCAGUUAGUUAUUAUACAUUGUUGGCUAUAAUAUCUUUGUAUUUUUCAUUAUUACAUUUGUAAGUUCUGAUUUCAAUUCAGGUUAGUUUCAUCUUAUUUGUAGUGUUUUUUUUUCUCCUGUCAGUUUUGUAAUAUUUGGCUUUUGUAAUAUUUGUAUUUGUUUUCAGUAAUUUUAUGAUGCUCAAAUGGUCAUACAAGCGUUACAAUAAACAU